rnacentral:lncRNA from 1 species
AAGGUUGUUGAAUAAUGCUUUUAAUAUGAUAGAGAGCAACAAGGUAGUUUAUAGGUUAAUUGACAUCACCACAGUUUAAAGUCAAAGUGAAUAAUUGUAAAAGUUGUAGAAACCAAAGUUGAAGAAAGGCGAAAAGCACCAUUAAGACCAACAAAUGACGUAGGAUUCGCGGAGUGGCGGUUCGACAAGACAGUGGUAGUCGUGUUGAGUUCGCGGUGGUAAAGGGAGGCGCCAUAACCACGGUGGUGGCGGAAAAAACCACGGCCGAUGAUGGAGCUGCAAUGGCAGAACCAAUGGUUCAUAGUGCG